NNNNNNNNNNNNNNNNNNNNNNNNNNNNNNNNNNNNNNNNNNNNNNNNNNNNNNNNNNNNNNNNNNNNNNNNNNNNNNNNNNNNNNNNNAGGGCAAGGAUACACAAAUGGAUCAACAGAAUACAGAGUUCAGAAGCAGACAUUCUAAACACUGGAAUUAUUUUCCAAAGGUGGCGGAAUAGUAGGAAAAGACUGAUCUUUUCAAUAAAUGGUCUGAAACAAUGAGUUAUUCUCAUAAAGUCUCUUGCAGAUCAGUCCCAGGAGAAAACAAGUUUAUCAGUUAGAGUUAUGCAAUUGUAUGGUGUUUCAUCUGAAAGUGAAGGAAGAAGAGUUGCAAUAUUGUGGACAUUUGUUUUGACUGUAAAUUCAUAAUUUUAUUAGCCUUGCUCUUUUGUUUGGCCUCCUUCUCAGUUUCGUCUUCAGUUAUGAGACAACUGGGCAGCAAAACUGACCAAAUUAUGAGUUUGAGAAGUGGCCCAGCGAGGGUUUUGUCUUUUCAUUAUUAGUGAUAAUUCUUCAUCUAACCUAUUUAUAAAACUGGAGUUGAGAAGAAUAUCAUUUUGAUUAUUAGCUUAGCUUUCUUCAGAUAAACCCGAAUAUUGUUUAAGUUUACUCACACCUCUCAAAAUAUGAUAUUACUGACUCAUCUGGAUUUUGUUGACCUUGUUGUAUUUUACUACAGUCAACUACUCUUAGAAACAGUGAGGAGUGGCUUGAAGCAAUGCCUUUGCAGUUUUGUGUGUCUGCCUACAGUCCUGAGCAUUUAUGAAAGUCUUCUAAGAGAUUUCUAUAAUGGGCCUUGUCUGUCUAAUCUUUUUUUUUUUCUUUAUACUUUAAGUUCUAGGGUACAUGUGCACAACGUGCAGGUUUGUUACAUAUAUAUACAUGUGCCAUGUUGGUGUGCUGCACCCAUUAACUCAUCAUUUACAUUAGGUAUAUCUCCUAAUGUUAUCCCUCCCCCCUCCCCCCACCCCAUGACAGGCCCCAGUGUGUGAUGUUCCCCUUCCUGUGUCCAAGUGUUCUCAUUGUGUCAUAGUGUUCUCACUGUGUCAUAGUGUUCAGUUCCCACCUAUGAGUGAGAAUAUGCAGUGUUUGGUUUUUUGUCCUUGCGGUAGUUUGCUGAUAAUGCUGGUUUCCACAUUCAUCCAUGUCCCUACAAAGGACAUGAACUCAUCCUUUUUUAUGGCUGCAUUGUAUUCCAUGGUAUAUAUGUGCCACAUUUUCUUAAACCAGUCUAUCAUUGACGGACAUUUGGGUUGGUUCCAAGUCUUUGCUAUUGUGAAUAGUGCCGCAAUAAACAUACGUGUGCAUGUGUCUUUAUAGUAGCAUGAUUUAUAAUCCUUUGGGUAUAUACCCAGUAAUGAGAUGGCUGGGUCAAAUGGUAUUUCUAGUUCUAGAUCCGUGAGGAAUCAUCACACUGUCUUCCACAAUGGUUGAACUAGUUUACAGUCCCACCAACAGUGUAAAAGUGUUCCUAUUUCUCCACAUCCUCUCCAGCACCUAUUGUUUCCUGACUUUUUAAUGAUUGCCAUUCUAACUGGUGUGAGAUGGUAUCUCAUUGUGGUUUUGAUUUGCAUUUCUCUGAUGGCCAGUGAUGAUGAGCAUUUUUUUCAUGUGUCUGUUGGCUGCAUAAAUGUCUUCUUUUGAGAAGUGUCUGUUCAUAUCAUUCGCCCACUUUUUGAUGGGAUUGUUUGUUUUUUUCUUGUAAAUUUGUUUGAGUUCUUUGUAGAUUCUGGAUAUUAGCCCUUUGUCAGAUGAGUAGAUUGCAAAAAUUUUCUCCCAUUCUAUAGGUUGCCUAUUCACUCUGAUGGUAGUUUAUUUUGCUGUGUAGAAGCUCUUUAGUUUAAUUAGAUCCCAUUUGUCAAUUUUGGCUUUUGUUGCCAUUGCUUUUGGUGUUUUAGACAUGAAGUCCUUGCCCAUGCCUGUGUCCUGAAUGGUAUUGCCUAGGUUUUCUUCU
rnacentral:lncRNA from 1 species